rnacentral:lncRNA from 1 species
UUAUUUUGUAUAAAAAAUAAUAAAAAUCCAUCUUGUAGUACUUAGGAUGGCAAAGGAUGCUAGUAGCACUGGUAAACACAGUGCUGCUAGCAUCCUUGCCCUCCUGUCAUAUUGCUAUACAUGCAAGAACAGUCAUUGAACAGUGUUCCAUUAUGAUUUAUAUGCAAGUUGCACCAGUAGUAGUAUGUUUGUAUUACUUAUCAUAUUUGUUCUAUCUCUGUAAAUAUUUGAAUGUUACAGUUAGACAUAAUAUUUAUUUAUAGUUUUCAUUUUAGAACAUUAUUGGGGCUAUUGACAAUUAUCAAUAAUAAAUAUUAUUUCACAAAACAAAACAAGAAAAAUAUAUACAGUAUUAUUUUUAAGUAAUUUUGAGUUAUACCAAAUUAUAAUUUUAUCGAUAACAAAUAAUAUUUUUUCAUGUUUAAUUUGUUUUUUAAUUCUUACCAUAAUUUUGAUAUUUUAUCCAAACAUGUAUACACAGUAUUUAUAGUGUGUAUGUAUAUUUUGAAAGUUGCAGUACUCCUACAGUUUCAAGCCACAGGCCACUGCUGAAAAUCAUUGACACAAAGCUAUGUCAGAUGAAGUGGUAUAUCAGAUAAUCAAAAUUUGAAUAAUUUGGAGCUUUUACAGUAAUGCCUUUAUAGAUUAGCUUUAAAUCUUUGAGUUUCUUAAUACUUCAAGAUGAAAUUUUAAAAUUCUGAUCAUUAGCAGUUUUAAGUUAAUUGAAUGACAAUUCUGAAA